rnacentral:rRNA from 2 species
UACGAGGGGGGCGAGCGUUGUUCGGAAUUAUUGGGCGUAAAGGGUGCGUAGGCGGUUUUGUAAGUCUUAUGUGAAAUCUAUGGGCUCAACUCAUAGACUGCAUGAGAAACUGCAGGGCUUGAGUAUGGGAGAGGUGAGUGGAAUUCCUGGUGUAGCGGUGAAAUGCGUAGAUAUCAGGAGGAACACCUGUGGCGAAAGCGGCUCACUGGACCAUAACUGACGCUGAUGCACGAAAGCUAGGGGAGCAAACAGG